rnacentral:piRNA from 1 species
UGUGAAGAACUUCGGCAUCUGGC